GCCAGCAAAAGCUUUAGCAUAGAAGCUAAGGCAAAUGGAUUGUCCAAGAUGCCCUGGAAAAACAGUCCAGUGAUGAUGAAGAAAAUUAGAAUGAGACAGACUUGUGCACUUCCAUAAGUCCUGGACCUGCACCAGUAUUAUAGGCCAUCUCAGUCAGAGGGAGGACCAUCAGCCGUACCUACUGGUAUUGAGGAGGAUCAAGGAC